UACGUAGGGGGGCAAGCGUUUGUCCCGGAAUCAUUGGGCGUAAAGCGCGUGUAGGCGGUUCGGUAAGUCUGCUGUGAAAGUCCAGGGCUCAACCCUGGGAUGCCGGUGGAUACUGUCGGACUAGAGUACGGAAGAGGCGAGUGGAAUUCCCGGUGUAGCGGUGAAAUGCGCAGAUAUCAGGAGGAACACCGGUGGCGAAGGCGGAUCUCUGGGCCCAUUACUGACGCUGAGGAGCGAAAGCGUGGGGGAGCGAACAGG
rnacentral:rRNA from 1 species